GGGGAUUUAGCUCAUUGGUAGAGCGCUUGCCUAGCAAGCACAAGGCCCUGGGUUCGGUCCCCAGCUCCG
rfam:Rattus norvegicus chromosome 5, whole genome shotgun sequence.